GGCCAGCGCCGCCGCACUACAUUUCCCAGAAUGCUUUGCCGGCCCAGGAUGACUUUUGCCAUAGCAACAGCGGCAGGAGGGGCCCCAGUGAAGCCUGGGGAGAAGAGUCUUCACGGGAUUGGCCAAGAGGCGAAGAGAGGCGGGGCCAUGUAGGAGACAGGCGGCACCCAAGCGACUUCCGCUUCCUCCUUUCUUCCUCGCUACUCCGCCAUCAGACCGGUCCGGACCCCUGCCGACUUCGGAUGCUCGCGGCCUGCUCGGCUCCGCCACGUACUCAGCCACUGCCAGUGCCCAAGCCCCGCGUCCAGGGCCGGGAUUGGGAGGUGGCUCCUGAAACCAAGGAGUCAUCUCCAAAGCUGGGCUUCUCUAUGGAACAGUCAUCCCAGGAAAUACUCACAUGGGAUCGGCCCUGUGUUUCUAGUUUGGGAGAAACUUCAGAAUGUGAUGCCAGGCUAGAGAAGCAGCCGAGGAAAGUAGUGAGACAUCCUCGAAGCAUUUUAUCUCAAGGAAGAGAGAUGGCACGAAACUUCUCUAAGUGGAGACUCAGACUGGACUCUCCGGACUCCAGCCGGAAGUGAGGUCACGCUCCAGGAGUCCUCCAGAGGAUCCAGACUGUCAGCCAUCAGGUUCAGGUCACCAGGACGUCAGCUGAGGCACUGACCAGCACGUGAAAUGAGACUCGUCAGGGUGACAAGAAAACCGGACUGGCCGUUGCAGAACAAUGCAGUGCUGGACAGUGAUAUUUUUAAAGGGGGGAGGGGUAAACAAGCAGAGGUGGGAUGUCCUGGGUCAUUAUUGGAGACACCUCUGGGGGUCUGUGGGCAUGAUGGGGAGAUGGAAGGAGUGAGAAAGGUGCCUUACUUACUGAAUAAUAAGUCUCCUAUCAAAGAAGGGGUGUGUGUGUGUGUGUGUGUGUGUGUGUGUGUGUGUGUGACAGAGAGAGAGAGAAAAGCUAUUUCCUUAUAGCUACUGGCCAGGGCUAUUUGAAGUAUUACUCUCUGGUCCCAAUGGCCUGGACCAAGUGAGUGUCAGAGAGUAGCCAGUUCCAAGGCUUUGAGUGUCUUCUUCCAGCAGAUGACCUUGGACUCCAGCCCUGAUUCAUCUUGGAGCACCAGCUGGCUACAGGACAUCUCAUGUCUCCUUGCGUGUGCCAGGGCCACCACCCUUCAUCUCACCUCCUGGUUUCAAACCUCGGUGCUAUUUUUACCUCUUCUCUUCUGAUCUGUUCCCAAGUCCUUUCGAUUCUACCUCUGUGGUCUCUCUCACACACGUCCUUUCCUCUCUGCUCACCUGGCCGCUACCUUCCUCAGCGCCUGUUUGGAUUAUGCGGUUGCCACUUAAGAAGUAUUCUUCCCUGGCCUGCCUUCUCUCUCCACUGCCACUUGUAUCUUCCUCAUGACCUCAUCAUGUGACAUACUCAGAAAUCAUUGACGGUUCCCUAUUGCCUGCAGAGUAAUUGUCAAACUCCUUUUGACUGGUAUUUAAGGUCUUUCCAAAUCUAGUGCCAAGCAACCUACCCAAGUUUGUCUCAUCCUGUUCCCCUUGACCUCCUCCAUGGUCUAGCCCCACUGGAUUGGUGGUUGUCCCACAAACACACCCUCCAUUUUUGGGCUGCUCUGCUUUUGCUUACGGUGCUUUCUGUGCCUGGACCAUAGGCUCUCCUCCCUUCCACCCGCUGACUUCUUGAAGGUCCUUCAAAGCCAGACUUGGAUGUCACUGCCCCUCCCCCCAAGACCUUGCAUAGCACUUUGUUUCUAUUUAUGUAUUCUUUCGUCUUGUAGUCACUUGUGUCUGUGUCGCAUCCAUGAGGAGAGGGCCUGUGUUUUAUUUAACCUUUGUGUGUCCCCCAGGAUCUGGCACAAGGCUCUGUACUCAAUUAAUGAAUAAUAAAUGUUGAUUGACUUGACUUGACUAUGAAGCA
rnacentral:lncRNA from 1 species